rnacentral:rRNA from 1 species
UACGUAGGGUGCAAGCGUUGUCCGGAAUUAUUGGGCGUAAAGAGCUCGUAGGCGGUUCGUCGCGUCGGCUGUGAAAACCUGAGGCUCAACCUCAGGCCUGCAGUCGAUACGGGCGGACUUGAGUACUGCAGGGGAGACUGGAAUUCCUGGUGUAGCGGUGAAAUGCGCAGAUAUCAGGCGGAACACCGGUGGCGAAGGCGGGUCUCUGGGCAGUAACUGACGCUGAGGAGCGAAAGCGUGGGGAGCGAACAGG